AGGCAUUGGAAAUGAAGUUUUAUUUGACCUACAAGUACCCAAUGAUUUGUCGGAUUCACAGCUUAGUAACCAACAAGGUGACUUUGUUUUCCAGUCAGAUAGGCAAAGUGAUGUUACUCACGCUUCAAGUGACAAAGAAUCUUCCCAUUUACCCAGAGUUCCACAAAGUCCAGUAGAAGGUGUAACUCAAACAAGGUCUGGUAGGAUUGUAAAGCCAGUGGACAGACUUAUUUGCUCAAUGAAUGCCAUAAUAUCUAGCUGCCAAACUGAAAGUCAGUUGCUAGAAGUACUUAAAUUGCUAGGCAAUGCCCUUAACAACUGAAGGAUAGAACAAACUAUCACUCUACUAGCGCUUUGAUAGGAAUAUGUAAGAGCUUAUCUUACAAAAAUAAGGCAAGACAAAUGGUGUGUGUAUGCAUAGUUUAGUGGCAUAAAAAACAGAAAUUGAUAAGGGGUUUAGUACCAUAUGUAAAUAGUAUCUCCUCAUUUGAGCAUUGUGUAAAUGGCACUUUGUGUUAACUACUGUACGAGGGUAGUGCACACCCUCUAAGUAGUUCUUAAAUGAACCUUUGCUAAAGGGCUGAGAAAAAGGCUCUAUUACCUUAUAUUGUAAGCACAGAUACCUAUAUAGCUUAUUGUAAUAUAAGAACGCUAUGUUAUAUUAUUCCAAUUUAAUGAGUAGAUGUGAAUUUUGGUAAGUCUCACAACAUACUAUGUAAAGUUUUGAUUCAGGUAGUGUAACAAAUAUUUGGCGAAAUUAAGGAGGGGUGAAUGUAACACGGUUAACACAGUUAACUUAAAUAUACAAAUGUUCGCCAAAUAUCUCAGAUCUGCAAGAGGUUAAAUUCCUGACAGGAAGAAUCACUUGGACUAUACCAAAAUACUGACCAAAAGUGCAGAAUAUACCUUUGAAUGUUUUACUGUUAAUUAUGUUCUAGUUAAGAAAUAAAUAGUUCUAACAGAGCAGCUAACUUCUGUGGGAAAGAUCAUAGCCACACUCUAAACAGAAUCUUUACCAGACCACAAUCCUUAAUGGACUUUCCCUUACCCCCUGUCUAUAUCCUACCAUUUGGUCUGGUCCCUCCUCAGUGCUUUAGUUCCACAGAAGAGGUCCCCAGCAGACAGUGCCAAUCAAUAAAGCAUUGUAAAGUUA